rnacentral:rRNA from 1 species
AACGAACGCUGGCGGCAUGCCUAACACAUGCAAGUCGAACGAGACCUUCGGGUCUAGUUGCGCACGGGUGCGUAACGCGUGGGAACCUGCCCUUAGGUUCGGAAUAACUCCCCGAAAGGGGUGCUAAUACCGGAUAAUGUCUUCGGACCAAAGAUUUAUCGCCUUUGGAUGGGCCCGCGUUGGAUUAGCUAGUUGGUAGGGGAAAAGCCUACCAAGGCGACGAUCCAUAGCUGGUCUGAGAGGAUGAUCAGCCACACUGGGACUGAGACACGGCCCAGACUCCUACGGGAGGCAGCAGUGGGGAAUAUUGGACAAUGGGCGAAAGCCUGAUCCAGCAAUGCCGCGUGAGUGAUGAAGGCCUUAGGGUUGUAAAGCUCUUUUACCCGGGAUGAUAAUGACAGUACCGGGAGAAUAAGCUCCGGCUAACUCCGUG